GUGUGUGUGUGUAUGUUGGCUGUGUGCUCCUUACAGAGCUUUACUUCUUCUUGUACCUAUAAUUUCUCUUUCCUAUCGUGAGAUCUUAAAUGACUUUUGAUCCCUAAAAUACGUUUAAAGAGCUGAUCACAUAUACUGCAGCAAUG